AUCGACUGCGCCAGCUCAGAUUAUCCUACAGGCAGGAAACUAGUCUGCAGUUGACGAUGGGCCGUUCAGACUUUUCAUUCUGGAAAAUGAUGAACGCGGGCUACAGGUUUAACACAUGCAAGUCGAGGGGCAGCAUGGUCUUAGCUUGCUAAGACUGAUGGCGACCGGCGCACGGGUGGAGUAACACGUAUCCAACCUGCCGUCUACUCUUGGACAGCCUUCUGAAAGGAAGAUUAAUACAAGAUGGCAUCAUGAGUCCGCAUGUUCACAUGAUUAAAGGUAUUCCGGUAGACGAUGGGGAUGCGUUCCAUUAGAUAGUAGGCGGGGUAACGGCCCACCUAGUCUUCGAUGGAUAGGGGUUCUGAGAGGAAGGUCCCCCACAUUGGAACUGAGACACGGUCCAAACUCCUACGGGAGGCAGCAGUGAGGAAUAUUGGUCAAUGGGCGAGAGCCUGAACCAGCCAAGUAGCGUGAAGGAUGACUGCCCUAUGGGUUGUAAACUUCUUUUAUAAAGGAAUAAAGUCGGGUAUGGAUACCCGUUUGCAUGUACUUUAUGAAUAAGGAUCGGCUAACUCCGUGCCAGCAGCCGCGGUAAUACGGAGGAUCCGAGCGUUAUCCGGAUUUAUUGGGUUUAAAGGGAGCGUAGAUGGAUGUUUAAGUCAGUUGUGAAAGUUUGCGGCUCAACCGUAAAAUUGCAGUUGAUACUGGAUAUCUUGAGUGCAGUUGAGGCAGGCGGAAUUCGUGGUGUAGCGGUGAAAUGCUUAGAUAUCACGAAGAACUCCGAUUGCGAAGGCAGCCUGCUAAGCUGCAACUGACAUUGAGGCUCGAAAGAGUGGGUAUCAAACAGGAUUAGAUACCCUGGUAGUCCACACGGUAAACGAUGAAUACUCGCUGUUUGC
rnacentral:rRNA from 1 species